GGCCCGGUCCGCCGGCCCGGCAGCAGCCCCCGCGCCGGCCCUCUCCAGAGGGUGGACGGAGGGGCGCCCGGGGCGGGGGCGAGGCGCCCCCUGGCUCUUCGCACAGGCCUGGCGUCCCUUCGGCCCCCUCUGAGCACCUUGGUCAUUGUCUGUGGACACCGGUGCCCUUCCCUCCGCCUGAGUGCAAGUGGGCGCACCGUCGGCCCGUCCGGGCGGGGGCGGCGGCUUCACCGCGGUGACGCGUGGCUGCCUCCCCGGGCCUGGCCGGCGCUGAGCGAGGGACUCCUGGCCUUGCGGCGCGGGGGCUGGGUUGCAGGGGCUGGGGUGGGGCAGCUCCGUCCCAGGCCACAGGAACUAUUUCUGGCCGGCGCUUUCCCAGGGGGCUCACAUCCGCCAGGCACUCCCGGAAAGAGCGGCCCCUCCUGCGCCGGGCGUCCGCGCGCGGGCCGCGGGGGCUGGGACCUCUCCGCGGGCCCGGGGCCAGCCUGCGGGCGCGUGGGGCUUCCAGACCCCCGGCUCCGCUCUUCGGGUCUGCGUCUUUUUUUCUGCCCGGGCUGCAGCGGGGCCUCCUGGGGAACUUCCGGCCGCCUGUCUUUCCGAGGAGCCCGUCCCUACGGCAGCCAGGUGAGUGCUGGGUGGGGCGGGUGAAAGUUCAGCUCUGGGUGGUGCUGUGCGGGUCUGGAAACGUGGCCUGGGGCAUCCGGCUGCCAUCUGUGCCCCAGGGCCCUCUCCCACCCUCCUCAGCACAGAGACCCUACAACAGAGCAGGCAAGGUGUCCCUGGAUGCCCCUGGGGAGGAGCACAGCCUGUAGCUUCGUGUCUUGUUGGGGUUGGGGGUGCUGGCCCCUUUCCAGUACUGAGGAUUAGCGGAGGAAGUACCCCCAGAUCUGGGGAAUGUGUUUCUGCCGGCUCUGCCUGCCCAGCCCAUCUAUUCUGCCCACCCUGGCAAAGAGGAAGGCAGGCCUUCCCUUUAACAAAAACCUGAGGGGCUUCCCUGAGGCCCUGUGUCUCGUAAGGGGCAGAUCAGUCUGUCUCUGAGUGGCCUCCUUCUCUCCAGCCGCCAGUCGGCUCCUGCCAGCCUGCCAG
rnacentral:lncRNA from 1 species